rnacentral:rRNA from 1 species
CUUCGAUGGAUAGGGGUUCUGAGAGGAAGGUCCCCCACAUUGGAACUGAGACACGGUCCAAACUCCUACGGGAGGCAGCAGUGAGGAAUAUUGGUCAAUGGACGAGAGUCUGAACCAGCCAAGUAGCGUGAAGGAUGAAGGUUCUAUGGAUUGUAAACUUCUUUUAUACGGGAAUAAACGGAUCCACGUGUGGAUUUUUGCAUGUACCGUAUGAAUAAGGAUCGGCUAACUCCGUGCCAGCAGCCGCGGUAAUACGGAGGAUCCGAGCGUUAUCCGGAUUUAUUGGGUUUAAAGGGUGCGUAGGCGGCCUUUUAAGUCAGCGGUGAAAGUCUGUGGCUCAACCAUAGAAUUGCCGUUGAAACUGGGGGGCUUGAGUAUGUUUGAGGCAGGCGGAAUGCGUGGUGUAGCGGUGAAAUGCAUAGAUAUCACGCAGAACCCCGAUUGCGAAGGC